UACAGAGGGUGCGAGCGUUGUCCGGAAUCACUGGGCGUAAAGGGCGCGUAGGUGGCGACCCAAGUCGAUGGUGAAAGCUCGCCGCUCAACGGCGAGUCGGCCACCGAUACUGGGUUGCUGGAGCACUGUAGAGGCUCAUGGAAUUCCGGGUGUAGCGGUGGAAUGCGUAGAGAUCCGGAAGAACGACCGGUGGCGAAGGCGGUCUGCUGGGCAGUUGCUGACACUGAGGCGCGGACAGCGUGGGGAGCAAACAGG
rnacentral:rRNA from 1 species